AUGGACCGGGAGGGGUGGCCAACUCCGUCGGGGAGCUAGCAGCGCCCCGCACAUGCGCACCCGGGGUGGAAGAGCCCACAUGCGCUGCAUAAUAGGAACGGCCCCUCCCCCACCCAGAAGCACGCCAGGCUCCCGACCACUACAGCAGCCCUCAGCGCCUCAGUUUCCCGCUCCGAGCCCGCAAGCCGGCUCUGGAGACGCCCGGGGGACCCAGUCACCAGAGAAGCCUCACCGACUCGGCUCCUCACUUCACUCGUGCACGGGCGAUUCGUCUUGCUCCCAACCUCAGAGCCCACGUCCCCAUUCUAAGGCCUUGGAGCAUUCCCCAACUACUCCAACCUAUAUCCUCAAGGCCGCAAGUCCCUGGCCGCCUCACCGUGGGUCCUCGAACUCAACGAAGGCGAAGGGCGGUCCUCCGCGGCGAUUCUUCAGGUCGAUGUCGCGGAUAGCACCGUAUUUGUAGAACACGUCCUCAAUGUCCUUGGUUCGGAUGUCUGGAGAUGCAGCUUCCAAAUUCUGCAGAUUAUAUUCCACAGUUCUGGGAACCCAGCAGCUUUCAGUCUGGUGCUAGUAUGAUCAGUGUGGCCCCAGAGGACUACGCGAUGUGGAUACCUGUGCAGUACUUCCUUGUCUGGUUCCAACCUGCAUCCAUGUGGUCUGGGGCGCACCAAUCUUAAUUCCUUCCAAGUCAGUUUCUACUUUUUGUGGAAUCCAGGUUCCAGGGAGGAAAAUUUCUUUCCCUUGAUUCAGAAUCUCCAUUUCCUAUCUUGGGAUUUAUCUUUAUAAUAAAGAUGAUUGAGAAUGAGAA